rnacentral:misc_RNA from 1 species
AACGGUCUAUACCUGCGGUACCUGCGGAAGGAUCAUUAUUGAAUAUGCUUGAUGGGCUUGUUAGCUGGCCUCUCGGGGCAUGUGCACGGCCUGUCUUGACUCUAUUCAUCCACCUGUGCACCUUUUGUAGUCUUUUGAGGACUGACGAGCAGUUGAGUCUGUCGCAAGACAUGGAUGUGAAGAUGGAUUAGUUUUGGACUGAUCCUUCCUCUGUGCUGUAAAGUCUUCCUCGAAACACUA